CCUACGGGAGGCAGCAGUGAGGAAUAUUGGUCAAUGGGCGCGAGCCUGAACCAGCCAAGUCGCGUGAAGGAUGAAUGCCCUACGGGUUGUAAACUUCUUUUAUAAAGGAAUAAAGUGAGGCACGUGUGCCUUUUUGUAUGUACUUUAUGAAUAAGGAUCGGCUAACUCCGUGCCAGCAGCCGCGGUAAUACGGAGGAUGCGAGCGUUAUCCGGAUUUAUUGGGUUUAAAGGGAGCGUAGAUGGGUUGUUAAGUCAGUUGUGAAAGUGUGCGGCUCAACCGUAAAAAUGCAAUUGAUACUGGCAGUCUGGAGUACAGGUGAGGUAGGCGGAAUGCGUGGUGUAGCGGUGAAAUGCUUAGAUAUCGCGAAGAACACCGAUUGCGAAGGCAGCUUACUAACCUGCCACUGACACUGAGGCUCGAAAGCGUGGGUAUCAAACAGGAUUAGAUACCCUUGUAGUC
rnacentral:rRNA from 1 species